AAGAACAGAGAAGUGAAAACAAAAGUAGGGUUCGUCCUCGUUUCAAAUCAAAAAAUUUAGAAGAAAAUUAGAGUUCAUACAAAUCGUCAAAUCUAUGGAAGAAGAACAGUUGUUGUUAUGAUUUUUUUUUCUUCAAAACUUUUACUUUAAAUCUCCAGAUCUAAGUACUUAAGAGUGAAAUCGAAGAAAUAAGAAGAGAAAUCGUCCAUUUAGAAUCGAUUGUUUGAUGUAGACUCGUUCAAUUUCAAUUUCGUUGUAUUUUCUACAUCUCGGUCUCUGUUCUUCAACACCCCUAUAUUUUUUUUCAUUCAUUCUAUUUUCAUCCACUGAUUAUUUUCUUGAAAUAAAUUAGAGGAAUAUAAUCUUCUUGUGUUGUCUAAUUUAUAUUAAUUGUUUAAUUUCACUUUUUUAGUUUCCUAUUUUUGCAGAAUUGAAGCCUCGAAUCUCAAACGUUGUGUCUAUGCCAGUUGAACCGCAGAUUUCCUUGCUCCCUUACUGUUAAUGAAUUGGCUGUUGGAAAGGUGCUACAUGCAUUAAAUGGAAAGUGAAAGUGAAGAUGAUGGUCUUGAUUUGUACAUGUUGAUCCGGUGGUGAAGAUGACCCAGGCACCUUUUCCACCCAAGGAGCAGAAAGGAAGCUUUCAAAGAAGGAGUUGAAGGAAAAGGAACUUGCAGAACUUGAUGCUGUUUUGGCUGAGCUAGGAAUUGACACAUUAUGCGUUACUGAGAACCUGAAUUACAUCUUGAAUCUGUCGACCAAACUAAUAUUUGAAUCUCAGUCUAUCAAUUAUUUUAUUUGUUGGUUAAGUAAUUACAAUAACGAAAGCAACUGUCAAUUGAACAACCUUAUACUCGUAA